AUUGAACGCUGGCGGCAGGCCUAACACAUGCAAGUCGAACGAGUGGCGGACGGGUGAGUAAUGUCUGGGAAACUGCCUGAUGGAGGGGGAUAACUACUGGAAAAGGUAGCUAAUACCGCAUACAAUCAGAUGUGCACCGAUGGGCUUAGCGAGGUGGUGGGGUAACGGCUCACCAAGGCGACGAUCCAUAGCUGGUCUGAGAGGAUGACCAGCCACACUGGAACUGAGACACGGCCCAUACUCCUACGGGAGGCAGCAGUGGGGAAGAUUGCACAAUGGGCGCAAGCCUGAUGCAGCCAUGCCGCGGGUAUGAAGAAGGCCUUCGGGUUGUAAAGUACUGUUGGCGGAGAAGCGGUACCCGCAGAAGAAGCACCGGCUAACUACGUGCCAGCAGCCGCGGUAAUAC
rnacentral:rRNA from 1 species